rnacentral:snRNA from 1 species
GUGCUCACUUCGACAGCACAUAUACUAAAAUUGGAAUGAUACAGAGAAGAUUAGCAUGGCCCCUGUGCAAGGAUGACACACAAAUUCAUGAAGCAUUCUAUAUUUUU